ACUUAACACCACCAUCAACAGCACGCACGCACUCACUCACCCACCUCCCAUUCCAUCCACCACCUCCUCCUCCUCCAUCCCCUCCUGGUGUCCCCCUCCUCUCUCGCCCUUCUCCUGGUGUUCCCUCCCCCCUCGCCAGCACCGCCUUGAUCCCAACAGCGCGUGUCCUGUGGGCUUGUGGGGUUUGGGGGCUUUAUAUUCCACUUCGGGCUCGAGGCAAAGCUUAGACUCUGCGUGGCCACCCCGCCUGCCGACUCUCCCCUCGUCUCUCCUCUGCCGUCCCAGACUCAGCCGCCCACCAUGUCCGAGGAGGAAGUUUAUGAGGAGGAGGUCGAGGAGCAGGAAGGUAAUGUCACGGCAUCGCAGACGCAUGGGCGAGGGAGCGUGGGCACACUCGGUGAUACCAGGCUGAUGCCGGGCUGAUGCCAGGCUGAUGCCGGGCUGAUGACGGGCUGAUGCCAGGGUGCACUGGUCAAACCUGGUCCUCAGACCUUGACCGCGAUCGUGUGUACGAAUACAACUCUAAUAGCUAACAACACCUCCCCUUUGAAACCAUGAGGAAUCCCAACUGCCUAUUGCUAAGGGGUGGAACCGUGCAUCGAUCUGUCGAUUAAUCAUAUGAAUAACUGUGUAAGCCCAUGAGAUGCACACACACACACACACGCGCGCGUUUGUUCCCCCACCUCUCCAGAAUCAUCACACGCGUGUUCCACCUAUUGCACACGCAGACACUAAGACGCACAUAGACACACACACGCGCGCGUCUCCCACGCCACGAAUCUCGCAUAUCGGCGUUCGCUCCUCUCCACACGUGGACCACGCGCGCGUGUUGCUUCCACCGACGAUGCCGCUCGGAGUCGGGGGGGGGGGGGGCAGCGCGCCACCUGCGGCGUCUGGCGUCGCUUCAUCAUCGCGCGCGCGUCCCACCACCACCACCACCACCCAACCCCCCGCCGCACGCCACUCGCCGGCAUUGCCAGCUUGCUGCGCUGCCCUCCUGUGCACAACAUCGCUGCUGCUGGCGCCUGUCGCCUGGCCGUGGCUUAUUGGCAGAGAGCGCCUGAGUGUCUCGCUCACCGACUGACUCGCCGUCGCGUUACAUUUGCUGAGCUGCGGACGAUCGAACUGGGUAACGAGUGGACCUAUUGACGUGCCGCUGAUCCAACUAAUUUGGUGCAAUGGUUGGCCAACCCAGCGAAUGGCUGGCGGAAUGAAAUAAUCAUUUAUUUGCUGAUCAUCCAACAGGCUCCGUGGUGGACUCCCUAACUUGCUGACUGGCAGAUUAACUGGGUGGCAGGUGGACUUACUGACGUGUUGAGCCAUUGGCUUGGCGGAUGGCAGACUGACUGAAAUAUUUGCUGACAUACUGGCCGUUUAAAGGGCCUUCUGACUUGUUAACUCACUCACCUACCCGAGUUGUAGAGGCGCGGCGUGGACCGAUUUGCUGACCCCAAUCCCUGGCCGAUUGCCUCACUGACUGACUGACUGGCUGACUGACUGGCUUGCUGACUGGCUUGCUUCUGGCGGGCUGCUUAUCCCCUUUGCUUCCCCCGGGCGCUUCGUAGAGGAAGCUGAAGAGGAGCCAGAGCCGGAGGAG